rnacentral:lncRNA from 1 species
GAAAUACUUCCGCAUGAGGAAGGAAUGAUGCAUAUAAGCAAAUCUUGAAGAGAAGACUUCACAUAUUUCCCGACUAAUCUCUGAUGAGACAGCUUUCUUCCAUUCUUAAAGGAGGAAGAAAGGGAGAAUCAGCAAGUAAAACAAAACAAGAAAAUGAUGUUCAUUCCACAUAACAUAUUUAAUUUGAUCGACAAUCUUUAG